UUUUGUGGUCAUCUUUGGUGGAAGGUUUUGUAAGACUUUAUGCUUUAUUUCCUUAUUUCUAGAAUAACAAUCUUGAUCUUUAUUGAAUUGUUUGUUAUGGUGUGUGAUUGAUUGUUAGUAAAUUAUUGAUUCUUAUGUUAAACUAAUUAGAAACCAUACGUUCUUGGUGCCGUUGGCAAUUGAGAUAUCAUGGGUAUAGUUAGGCUUGGGUAAGGGUUGAUUGAUCAUCGGGUAACAACCUCACUUUCUAGGAAUCUGAGUACUUAGUUCCCUUUCAUCACUGCAAUUGAUCACACAUGAACUAUGUCUAUGUAGUUCUUUCUAGUGAAAUGUUAGCAUAAAUGUCAAAGCAAACUGGAAAUUAAAGAUGAUUACUUGUCUCUAAUUUGUUUACAACCAACACUUACAUUUUGCAAUCAUAAUAGUAAUUUUAGUUUUGAAACCAAUUCACUCAAAUCAACUCUUGACAAUUACUUUACUUGCAUUUAGUUUAAUUUUAGUUAACUUAGAUAACACUUUAAAUAACACAUAUUCCACAAAUUCCCUGUGUUCGAUACCCACUUACCACUAACUAUUUAGUAGUAAUUGGAUUAAAUUUGAUUGUGACCACGACAUCACAUCAUACCUAAAGGCCUAAAAUCUUUAAAAAUAUUCUGCACCCCUAUGAAAAAAAAUCUUGGGGUCUGCCAUUGAUCGAAAGCAACCUUAAAACCACAUGUAGACAAAAGAUAAUCACCCAGGAUGAAAUCAGAACAAUGGCACAAAUAAGAGCAACCAAAUACAAAACUCAAAUCAAACCAAUCAAGUCGAACGAAGCCAAUUUUCUCGCCUAAACUAACUUUUCGCUAAAGAACAAACUUUUUGCCAAAACCCCAACAAAUCGGCACAGACUAAAUUUUCGCCAAAACACAACAAAUCGCCAAAUUCAAAGAAUUCACCAAACCAACUUGAAGCACCACAAACGAGAGAAUCACAAUACACGACUUCCAACGAAAACGAUAACACCAAAUACGAACUCAACGGUGGAAGCAGAUACGAACCGAUAAGAUGAACGGAAUCAAAUAAUUAUACUUGAAAAAUAUGGAACCAAAGUAUGUUAUUACUCCCAAGUAAUUAAUCCCAAACGAAUAUGUUAUGUCGUAAUCGAAGGAGCAUUUGUGAAUACGAUUAUAUUCCAAUUCUUUUGCUAUAAUUCCCAAGGAAGUAAAUAAUUCCAAAACCAAAUUCUUCACCACUGCGACAUAUAUCUUCAUUCCAAUAAACUAGGCUUUGAUACCAUGUAAAUUAAUCAUGAUGUACAGAGAAUGUGGCUAAGGUUUAUGAUUAGAGAGUAGAAAAAGUGAAUACAUAAAACAGAGUAAAGCUAGACUAUAAAUAGAGAGACUCUCUAUGGUUACUAAGUAAAUGGGCUAAACUAUAAACCAAAUACAAAAUGAGCCCCCUAACUUUAUUAUGCUAAGAGUUGUGGUAUCCCUGAGAGCAAGAACGUUCUAUAGCAUAACUACAUGACCAUUUGUUGGAAAUACCAUGAAGACAAGAGUUGGGUUUUUGACAAGACAAAGAUCAUGUUACAACUGCAAUCAAAUGGGACACUUUGCAAGAGAAAGCAAUUCACUUAAUGUCAAUCUAGCGCCAUCACAACAAAGUAACAAUAGUAGUAUGUGAACAAACAUUAGGGCCAUAAGUUCUAAUACUACUAUGCUACUAAUCAAGGAGGAGGGAAUGAAACUUUUGACUAGAGCUAUAAAGCUUCUAAAUCUACUCCAACAAAUCAUGCACUCAUGGAAAACAUAAAACACCUUCCAUCUAGAGCACUUAUGCUCCCUAGCUUGCAUUGAAAAAACUCAACAUUUAUAGAAUUCUCAACUUUAAAUGAUUGAAAAGGCAAAAGUUUAUGAAUCAAUGAAAUCUAAUUUCUAAAAAGCAGAGAAGACUUACAAAUGAAAGUGAAAAUGGGUGAAUGUGUGUGUAGGAAUGAAAGUCGUCUUAUUUUGAAUCAAACACAACAACAUUAGAUUGUACAAUUUGUUUAACUCUUUUAUUAUAAACCAUGAAAGCACACCAAUUAAAAUAACCUUAAUGUUAAUGGUUGAUGCAAAUUUUGUGUCUGAUGCUUGUCGAAGUGAUUAGAUUUGUAUUUUAUGUUGAUUAUGUAAUAGUUAGUGAAACGGUCAAACAAAUGUGUAUUGACCCGCUCGUUUGAAGUGGUCAAACGAGAGGGUUAUGUGUUUGACCCCGUGUGUUUGCUAGACAAGUGAGUGUGGGUAUAAAUACCAACCCCUUGUUCAUUUGCAAACUAGAGAGUUAGAGAGAGUGGGGGUGAGCUUAUUUGAGAGAGUUCACAGUGAGUUGUGUGGUUUUGGGGAGAGAUCACCCCUUGGUCUUUCCCCGGAUGUAUACUCCUUUGGUAUUAGUUCGGUUAUCUUGUAAUCGGGCCGAGUUGUAAUGUUUUCCUACCGAUUAAUACAAAGAAGUUUUGUUUAUCCAUCUCUAAUCUCUCCCGUCUUGAACUAAUCUCACACUAAUCAUGGUUUCGGUCCCGAAACACGGUCCUACAUUAAUCUAUUUAUCAUAAUGUUAAUCUAUUUAUAUUAAACUAAACCCAAACGUACUAUAACUCAAAAACCAAUUAAAUAAUUAUGAAACUCAAACUUGAUAAAUAUAACUCAUUAAAUAAAAUACUAAUACUUAUCUAGAC
rnacentral:lncRNA from 1 species